rnacentral:tRNA from 2 species
CGGGGCGUGGCGCAGCCCGGUAGCGCGCUUGCAUGGGGUGCAAGAGGCCCCCGGUUCGAAUCCGGGCGCCCCGA